CAAGUCGAACGGUAGCAGGAAGUGCUUGCACUUCGCUGACGAGUGGCGGACGGGUGAGUAAUGCUUGGGAACUUGCCUUUAGGUGGGGGAUAACAGUUGGAAACGACUGCUAAUACCGCAUAAUGUCUACGGACCAAAGGGGGCUUCGGCUCUCGCCUUGAGAGAGGCCCAAGUGAGAUUAGCUAGUUGGUGGGGUAAAGGCCUACCAAGGCAACGAUCUCUAGCUGUUCUGAGAGGAAGAUCAGCCACACUGGGACUGAGACACGGCCCAGACUCCUACGGGAGGCAGCAGUGGGGAAUAUUGCACAAUGGGGGAAACCCUGAUGCAGCCAUGCCGCGUGUGUGAAGAAGGCCUUCGGGUUGUAAAGCACUUUCAGUUGUGAGGAAAGGUUGGUAGUUAAUACCUGCCAGCUGUGACGUUAACAACAGAAGAAGCACCGGCUAACUCCGUGCCAGCAGCCGCGGUAAUACGGAGGGUGCGAGCGUUAAUCGGAAUUACUGGGCGUAAAGCGCACGCAGGCGGCUUGUUAAGCUAGAGGUGAAAGCCCCGCGCUCAACGUGGGAACUGCCUUUAGAACUGGCAGGCUAGAGUCUUGGAGAGGGGAGUGGAAUUCCAGGUGUAGCGGUGAAAUGCGUAGAUAUCUGGAGGAACAUCAGUGGCGAAGGCGGCUCCCUGGCCAAAGACUGACGCUCAUGUGCGAAAGUGUGGGUAGCGAACAGGAUUAGAUACCCUGGUAGUCCACACCGUAAACGCUGUCUACUAGCUGUUUGUGUAUUUAAUACGUGAGUAGCGAAGCUAACGCGCUAAGUAGACCGCCUGGGGAGUACGGCCGCAAGGUUAAAACUCAAAUGAAUUGACGGGGGCCCGCACAAGCGGUGGAGCAUGUGGUUUAAUUCGAAGCAACGCGCAGAACCUUACCAACCCUUGACAUCCUGAUCGCGGUUACGGAGACGGUUUCUUCAGUUCGCUGAUCAGUGACAGUGCUGCAUGCUGUCGUCAGCUCGUGUCGUGAGAUGUCGUAGUCAGCACGAGCGCAACCACAUCUAGUGCAGCAGUUCGGCUGCACUCUAGGAAACUGCGAUGAUAGUCGGAGAGGGUGGAUGACGUCAAGUCCUCAUGGCCUACGGGUGGGCUACAACGGCUACAAUGGGCGGGACAAGGGUAUAUCCAAAAACGGUCUCCAUUCGGAAUGUUUCUCCCCCACUCGACAGUAGAGUCGAAAGUGUUAUAAUCGUACAAACCAUAAGCGGCGGGAAACACAUAUG
rnacentral:rRNA from 1 species